CCAAGAUUGGGCCACUGCACUCCAGUCUGGGUGAUAGAGUGAGACCCUAUCUCAAAGAAAAAAAAGUAGGCAAGGAACUUUAUUGGUGAUAUUCUUCACAAACCCUCAGCAGUUUCCUGCACCUGCAACUCCUCAGGUACUAUAGUCAUGUUUUCUUGUAUUCCAGUGUCUGGAAUUUAUUCCUUCUGGUGGAUUCUUGGUCUUGCUGACUUCAAGAAUGAAGCCGCGGACACUCGCGAAAUCCUUGCUCUGAUCUGCCUGACUUCAGAGUGUAAACUCUUAAAUACACAGUCUGCUGCUUCUCCAGAUCAAGGUACAACAGCAGGUUCUUUUCUGAUUCCGCAAAGUCCUGCAUGGGGUGGAGGCAGAGACAGAAGAGAAUGUAAACACUGGGUUCCACCCCCUGGAAAUUAAGGGAAGACCCCUUACCCAGAUAGGGACUGAUUGGAGAGGUGGAAGGGAACAAGGUGAAAGAUGCUGUCAUCUCCCUGCUCUGCUAUGUCUUCAUUCCUCACAGUACCUGAACACAAAGCUGUGGUGUUAUCAGACUUUAACUGAAGGUUUGGGGUCCCGAAGAGGAUUAUAACAUAGCACAAAACUCAAAAUUGAACAUUGAUGAUGUCAUUAUGAAUAUCCAAAAGUUCCCUGACCAAACUCAUUUUAAGGACUGCGGUAAUUUAAAAGAUCACCCUGGGGGAAGCCAGCUACCAUGUAAUGAAGGUACUCAAGCAGCCCUGGGAAAGAACCAUGUGAAAAGAAACUGGGGCCUCCCACCAAUAGCCAGCAUCAACUUGCCAGCCAUGCAUGCCAUCUUGGAAAGAUAUCUCCUAGUUCCAGCUAAGACUUUAGCCGCCUAUAACCCCAGCUGACAUCUUGUUUGCAACCUCAUGAGAAGAUCCUUAGUUGAGGGGCAACCAAACUCCUGACCCACAGAAAUUGUGAGAGAUAAUAAUGCUUAUUGCUAUUUUAAGCUGCAAAGUUUUGGAGUAAUUUGCUAUGUAGCAACAGAUAAGUAAUACAGAGAGUCUCUCAUGGGCCGUUUUCUUCCGUC